rnacentral:lncRNA from 1 species
CGGAAGAUAUUUCAUACAGAAAACAACAUUUAUUCAGACAUGCUUUAUAAAGCUACAUGUUAAACCGUGUCAAAAAUGUCUACGGGCGUAUAAACCUUAUCAGUCCAAUUAUUAGUAAGACCAUUUGUACAAUGAAAUAUAUUACAUAACAAUUUUACAAACCUCAACAUACAUUUGCAACUCAGCUACAGCUAUAAGCCAGUUUGAGGGGAUAAAUCUAUUGUUUUUCUACAAUGACGGACCAACCAACCACAAGGAGUGUGUGACAAGAUCAAUAACUUAAAUAUUAAGUAGUUCGUAAGAAAAUGUGUUAUGUGCAAUUUGAUAUUCAAAAUAACAAUAGAUGAAUUGACAUAGUAUCUACUGUUAGACCUAAUAGUACAACUUUAAACUUUAAAAAUAUAAAACAAAUCAUGUUUACAUAUUUUACUUCCUAAAGUCUUGGACAAGGCAUUAUCAUCCUUUUGUAAAGGACAAAUGUUAGGUAGGAACCACAUUUGAGUUCCCAUCAAAAUGAAUCAUAUCCUUCUGUUUCAAUUGGUCAAUACCCAAUACCCUCAAACCAAUGAAGCAGACCAAGGUUAAACCUAAUGCUAAGAUAAAAUAAGAAAAUACUUGACAAAGCAUUAAGAUUUCAUAGCCUUAAAAGCCCCUUUAAAACAAAAUGGAUGCCACUAACUGUCUAAUACCACGGUCCUUCAAUACCACUUAGCUUCUAAGUCUUAGUCUGUUUUAGCACAUAGCAACACCUUGGAGUGCAUUUCAGUGUGAUACAAAUUAUCUGGUCUCUGACUAAAGAGAGAUCUAAAGAAGAGAGGAGAUCAGUCAGGAAGUGGCUAGUUCCUGUGUGCCCUAUUUAUAAGCCAAGUGAACGGGCCUGCUUUCAAGAGCACAGGGUAGAUACAACACAACAUUACUGGGGCUAGGUGAGAGUAGAUACAACACAACAUUACUGGGGCUAGGUGAGAGUAGAUACAACACAACAUUACUGGGGCAAGGUGAGAGUAGAUACAACACAACAUUACUGGGGCAAGGUGAGAGUAGAUACAACACAACAUUACUGGGGCAAGGUGAGAGUAGAUACAACACAACAUUACUGGGGCUAGGUGAGAGUAGAUACAACACAACAUUACUGGGGCUAGGUGAGAGUAGAUACAACACAACAUUACUGGGGCUAGGUGAGAGUAGAUACAACACAACAUUACUGGAGCAAGGUGAGAGUAGAUACAACACAACAUUACUGGAGCAAGGUGAGAGUAGAUACAACACAACAUUACUGGGGCUAGGUGAGAGUAGAUACAACACAACAUUACUGGGGCUAGGUGAGAGUAGAUACAACACAACAUUACUGGGGCUAGGUGAGAGUAGAUACAACACAACAUUACUGGGGCAAGGUGAGAGUAGAUACAACACAACAUUACUGGGGCUAGGUGAGAGUAGGCAUCAUAGGUUCUGUACUCACUUUUACAGUAGCUCAGUAAUCAUACCGCCUACACUCUUAGAAAAAAGGGUUCCAAAAGGGUUCUUCGGCUGUCCCAUAGGAUAACUCUUUCUUGUUCCAGGUAGAACUCUUUGGGUUCUUCUGGGGAAAGGGUUCUACAUGGAACCCAGUAGGGUUCUACCUGGAAUCAAAAGGGUUCUUUCUGGAACCAAAAAGGGUUAUUCAAAGUGUUCUAUUGGGACAGCCGAAGAACCCUUUUACGUUCUAGAUUUUUUUCUAAGAGUGUAGUUCCUGUUUUUGCAAUGUGCAGUCUGAAACCUUUUGUGAAAUGUUAUAUAAACCUAGCCUGCAUAGGUAUUUGCCAAAACAGAGUUAAGGGCACAUUUGCUAUGCAUUUGGAUCUGGUGAAAAGUUUGCACCUGUUUUUAUUGGAUGAAACACCAAAGCUAAAACAGCAAACUGUCUUCAUUUAUACUUGAUAAAUGGUUCACUUUCAGAACCUUUAUUCUUACCUUUUCAUUUAACCUUUUAUGUCCAAUUCCCUAUGGUAAACUUACUGUGCAAUCUUGAUACCUGAUGCAAAGUGCAAAUGUUGAAUAAAUGGGGUCCUUAGCGGUCAGAAGAAGGGAGGCUUGUAAAAUAGGUGUGGUGUCAAAUUUGAUGUACAUCCUGCCAUUGAGAUUUGGACUGGCAGAGCUUGUCUCAGACAUUUUAUAAAAGCCCUGAAUAUUCUUUUAACACUUGGAAAGUAGUUAUUCAAGACAAAUAACUUCUCAAGAAAAUUAUAUUUUCAUGAACUACAUAAACACAACCCACCUCAUACACGAUUACUUCAACUACAUAAACACAACCCACCUCAUACACGAUUACUUCAACUACAUAAACACAACCCACCUCAUACACGAUUACUUCAACUACAUAACACAACCCAUCUCAUACACGAUUACUUCAACUACAUAAACACAACCCACCUCAUACACGAUUACUUCAACUACAUAAACACAACCCACCUCAUACACGAUUACUUCAACUACAUAACACAACCCACCUCAUACACGAUUACUUCAACUACAUAAACACAACCCACCUCAUACACGAUUACUUCAACUACAUAACACAACCCACCUCAUACACGAUUACUUCAACUACAUAAACACAACCCACCUCAUACACGAUUACUUCAACUACAUAACACAACCCACCUCAUACACGAUUACUUCAACUACAUAACCCAACCCACCUCAUACACGAUUACUUCAACUACAUAAACACAACCCACCUCAUACACGAUUACUUCAACUACAUAACACAACCCACCUCAUACACGAUUACUUCAACUACAUAAACACAACCCACCUCAUACACGAUUACUUCAACUACAUAAACACAACCCACCUCAUACACGAUUACUUCAACUACAUAAACACAACCCACCUCAUACACGAUUACUUCAACUACAUAAACACAACCCACCUCAUACACGAUUACUUCAACUACAUAACACAACCCACCUCAUACACGAUUACUUCAACUGCAUAAACACAACCCACCUCAUACACGAUUACUUCAACUACAUAAACACAACCCACCUCAUACACGAUUACUUCAACUACAUAAACACAACCCACCUCAUACACGAUUACUUCAACUACAUAACCCAACCCACCUCAUACACGAUUACUUCAACUACAUAACACAACCCACCUCAUACACGAUUACUUCAAAUGUCAUCAUGGUUUGAUUGGCAAGGAGGACUACAGAGGAAACCAAUCUGUAUCCAUUCAAAAUGUGGAUUACAAAAAGUUGCAGGCACUUCCGACAUCCCCUAAGACUUACUUACUUUUGUAACAUCCUUAAACGUAUCAUUAAAAAGUUUGAUCGGCGGUUGUAAGUAUUCAAGUAAAUAUCCUUGGGAAAGUGAUGAUGAUCAAUGUGGAAUGUAAAAAAAACAAAUUUAAGUACAAAAAGUACAAUCAACCUUCAUUUGCAUGAGAAAAGUGAAAGUGGAAAAAAUUGCACUUAGCUAAAUCUCAGCAGAACACUUGCAUAAAUAUGCUGCAUAAUCAGCCAGAAUAAGAAAACACCUGUCGUCCUUCCAAGCUACUACUUUCCAUCACCAUUAACCAAUACAUUUUCCCUACUUCUCCUUCAUAUUUAACAAUCACCAGCUGUUUCUCUUGGCAGUAUUCUCAGAAUGUUUUGAGUCUUUCAUACGCUUGGCCUGCCUGAGGAACUGGUCUGCUUUCCUCAGCUUCUCCAUGGCUCUGGCUAGCAGCUCCUCCGGCGACCUGUCCUCCAGGCCAUCGCCCCCCGCUAGGGCCGAGUUCUGCCCAACCUCGGUGCUCCCUUUAGGGACAACGCUCCCCAGGAGCUCCCCUGUAUUUUCCAGCUCCAUGGCCAGUUCAUUUUCAAGGUCUGUUAAGUCUUGAGGACCCACGGUGGCCUUUGUCCCGGCCACGUCUGUGAUUCGCUGUUUCACGUUUUCACCCAAUGAGGCCUCAGAGAGGAGAUCCCCCAAAGAGGUGGACAUGAGCUUGGCUAAGGGUUUGAAGGGGAUG